rnacentral:lncRNA from 1 species
GGGUCAGGAGAUGAACACAUCAUGUUGAGUUGCAAAACCAGCUAAAGGACUCGCAUUGGCUAAAAAAACAGUAGUAAUAAUAAUAAAGAAAUAAUUUCAUUCCCAUACAUGUGUUGCUGCAUAAAAAAAAUAAAUUGUUAGAAGCAAGCGGAUCUUGCCUCCUUGCAGAACCUAAUCAACAAGACAGCAAUAACAAGAAGAAGACGAGACAAGUUAAAAGCAAAUGAUUCAUUAAUACAAGGCAUUGAAUGUAGUACCACCGUGCGCAUUAUUAUAUAAUAUUUGUAUAUAUGGAUAUUAUGGCAUUGAAAACUAGUAGUGUAAUUUGUUGCUACCGAAGGGUGAUGAGUUGUUGUGAUUGUGGAGAGCAGACACAGCAGAAGCAUUUUGGCGAUAGUUAUGGGGAUCGAGAUCAUGUUAGCUCAUGUUGCUUGCUUCCAAUUGAUAUUUAAAAUGGUUGAGAUUCCUCGUGUCUGCCCUCAACCUGUAAUAUAUAUGUUGAGCAGAUGGUAAGGGGACUACAGCAAAUAGCUAAGCAGAGUUGAAAACACAUAUCGCUUUUGCAUACCAAGAAAAUGGCAGCCUCUUACCAUGCUCGAUCAAACAGCUUGCCCACAAGGCAACACCCCAUCGUUUCACAAAUCGACGAGAACUUGAACCGAUUGAGGGCAUCUCAAUCAGCCUCCACAUCAUCAUCCAUAGGCCACAAUCUAAGUG